CUGUCAAUAUUCUUGCUGUUCUGAUUUUUUUAAAUAAUCUGGACAGGCUAAACACUAUAAUAAGGUCAUUCGUGUGUUCCCAGAUUUAGUUCUUUAUCUACAUAGGUCUAGUCUUGCUAAUUUAAAAAAAAA